rnacentral:snoRNA from 1 species
AUUCCAUGAUGAGGACAUUCUAGGAUGUAGUCUUGGAAGCGCUCCCAUGCUUCUAGAACAGAUUCAUGAUGUUGUUGCUGAAAACAUGUAAUUUUCCCACGGAGAGC